GAUGAACGCUGGCGGCGUGCCUAAUACAUGCAAGUCGAGCGAACGGACGAGAAGCUUGCUUUUCUGAUGUUAGCGGCGGACGGGCGAGUAACACGUGGAUAACCUACCUAUAAGACUGGGAUAACUUCGGGAAACCGGAGCUAAUACCGGAUAAUAUUUUGAACCGCAUGGUUCAAAAGUGAAAGACGGUCUUGCUGUCACUUAUAGAUGGAUCCGCGCUGCAUUAGCUAGUUGGUAAGGUAACGGCUUACCAAGGCAACGAUGCAUAGCCGACCUGAGAGGGUGAUCGGCCACACUGGAACUGAGACGCGGUCCAGACUCCUACGGGAGGCAGCAGUAGGGAAUCUUCCGCAAUGGGCGAAAGCCUGACGGAGCAACGCCGCGUGAGUGAUGAAGGUCUUCGGAUCGUAAAACUCUGUUAUUAGGGAAGAACAUAUGUGUAAGUAACUGUGCACAUCUUGACGGUACCUAAUCAGAAAGCCACGGCUAACUACGUG
rnacentral:rRNA from 1 species